GUGCCAGCAGCCGCGGUAAGACAGAGGGUGCGAACGUUGUUCGGAAUUACUGGGCGUAAAGCGCGUGUAGGCUGUCGCGCAAGUCGGGUGUGAAAGCCCGGGGCUCAACCCCGGAAGUGCACUCGAAACUGCGUGACUUGAGUCUCGGAGAGGGCGGCGGAAUUCUGGGUGUAGAGGUGAAAUUCGUAGAUAUCCAGAGGAACACCGGUGGCGAAGGCGGCCGCCUGGACGAGCACUGACGCUGAGACGCGAAAGCGUGGGGAGCAAACAGGAUUAGAUACCCUCGUAGUCC
rnacentral:rRNA from 1 species